rnacentral:lncRNA from 1 species
UUGUGAAUUUAAGAGGACAUUCUUCUCUAUUACAAUUUACUAAACGAUACAUUCUCAUCUCAAAAUUCGUAUAUGUCGCAUUUGAACGAAUCGCGAUCAAUUUUUGAAUCGCGAUCAAUUUUUUUCGACCGCCAACAUAUCGGGGACUAUUUCCAUCCGUAACUAACUGUCCAUCCCAAUGAACACUAAGAGACAUUCGACAACUAGCCAUUUUAACUACACAGAAAAAACUUUCAAAUCUUCUCUCAAAAUAUAUAGUGAAUAUAAUACAAAAGUUUAAAUCUAAACUA